rnacentral:rRNA from 1 species
AUAUAAGAUUUGACCUGCCCGCUGAUAGUGAGUUGAAUGGCCGCGGUAUUUUGACCGUGCAAAGGUAGCAUAAUAAUUAGUUUUUUAAUUGAAAGCUGGAAUGAAUGGUUGGACGAGAAAACAACUGUCUCUGAUUAAUUUGAAAAUUGAAUUUUAUUUUUGAGUCAAAAAGCUUAAAUGUUGUUAAAAGACGAGAAGACCCUAUAGAGUUUAAUAUUUUGUUUAAGAUUGAUUAUUAAGUAUUUAAUUUUUAUUUUAUUAAUGUAUUUUAUUGGGGUGAUAGAAAGGUUUAAUUAACCCUUUUUAAUUGUUAACAUGAAUAAAAGAGUUUUUGAUCCAAUUGGUUUGAUUAUAAGAUUAAAUUACCUUAGGGAUAACAGCGUAAUCUUUUUUGAGAGUUCUUAUCGAAACAAGGGAUUGCGACCUCGAUGUUGGAUUAAAAUUAAUUUUUGGUGCAGAAGCUAAAUAAGUUGAGUCUGUUCGACUUUUAAAAUUUUACAUGAUCUGAGUUUAAACCGGCGUGAGCCAGGUUGGUUUCUAUCUUUAAUUUGAUUAUAACAUUUUAGUACGAAAGGACCAA